AGCGCAGGUGGUUGUAUAAGUCUGAAGUAAAAGGCAGUGGCUCAACCAUUGUGUGCUUUGGAAACUGUACAACUUGAGUGCAGAAGGGGAGAGUGGAAUUCCAUGUGUAGCGGUGAAAUGCGUAGAUAUAUGGAGGAACACCGGUGGCGAAAGCGGCUCUCUGGUCUGUAACUGACACUGAGGCUGAAAGCGUGGGGAGCAAACGA
rnacentral:rRNA from 1 species